rnacentral:rRNA from 1 species
CGCGUAGGCGGAAUGGCAAGUCGGUCGUGAAAUCCUUCGGCUCAACCGAAGAACGUCGAUCGAUACUGCUGUUCUAGAGGAUUGCAGAGGAGACUGGAAUUCCCGGUGUAGCGGUGAAAUGUGUAGAGAUCGGGAGGAACACCGGUGGCGAAGGCGGGUCUCUGGGCAAUUCCUGACGCUGAGGCGCGAAAGCGUGGGGAGCAAACGGGAUUAGAUACCCCGGUAGUCCACGCUGUAAACGAUGACGACUAGGUGUGGGGGGGUUCAGUCCCUUCCGUGCCGCAGCUAACGCAUUAAGUCGUCCGCCUGGGGAGUACGGCCGCAAGGUUGAA